UUAUGAAUAAGGACCGGCUAAUUCCGUGCCAGCAGCCGCGGUAAUACGGAAGGUCCGGGCGUUAUCCGGAUUUAUUGGGUUUAAAGGGAGCGUAGGCCGGAGAUUAAGCGUGUUGUGAAAUGUAGACGCUCAACGUCUGCACUGCAGCGCGAACUGGUUUCCUUGAGUACGCACAAAGUGGGCGGAAUUCGUGGUGUAGCGGUGAAAUGCUUAGAUAUCACGAAGAACUCCGAUUGCGAAGGCAGCUCACUGGAGCGCAACUGACGCUGAAGCUCGAAAGUGCGGGUAUCGAACAGGAUUAGAUACCCUGGUAGUCCGCACGGUAAACGAUGGAUGCCCGCUGUUGGUCUGAAUAGGUCAGCGGCCAAGCGAAAGCAUUAAGCAUCCCACCUGGGGAGUACGCCGGCAACGGUGCAACUCAAAGGAAUUGACGG
rnacentral:rRNA from 1 species